rnacentral:tRNA from 1 species
GCCGAGGUAGCUCAGUUGGUAGAGCAAUGGAUUGAAAAUCCAUGUGUCGAGAGUUCAAGUCUCUCCUUCGGCA